rnacentral:rRNA from 1 species
GACGAACGCUGGCGGCGUGCCUAAUACAUGCAAGUAGAACGCUGAAGGAGGAGCUUGCUUCUCUGGAUGAGUUGCGAACGGGUGAGUAACGCGUAGGUAACCUGCCUGGUAGCGGGGGAUAACUAUUGGAAACGAUAGCUAAUACCGCAUAAGAGUAGAUGUUGCAUGACAUUUGCUUAAAAGGUGCAAUUGCAUCACUACCAGAUGGACCUGCGUUGUAUUAGCUAGUUGGUGGGGUAACGGCUUACCAAGGCGACGAUACAUAGCCGACCUGAGAGGGUGAUCGGCCACACUGGGACUGCGACCCGGCCCAGACUCCUACGGGAGGCAGCAGUAGGGAAUCUUCGGCAAUGGACGGAAGUCUGACCGAGCAACGCCGCGUGAGUGAAGAAGGUUUUCGGAUCGUAAAGCUCUGUUGUAAGAGAAGAACGAGUGUGAGAGUGGAAAGUUCACACUGUGACGGUAUCUUACCAGAAAGGGACGGCUAACUACGUG